CGUGAGUGUUUGUUUUCCGGAUGCUGCAGAGGCUCUGCUGUUGUCAGCCUGGGCUGCCUUUCUGCACAGCCCCUGGCAACCACCCCUCUGCUUUCUGUCUGUGAGUCUGACUACGCCAGACACCUCGCGCCACCAUGAGUGAUGCUGCUACGAAG